AUUUAAAUAAAUAUUUUACGGG
rnacentral:snRNA from 1 species